rnacentral:rRNA from 1 species
AUGACUGCCAAUGACUAUUUCCAAAGCAUUCCUCUUGAGCAACAGGUCCAGCCAAAGGAGCUUCGCUUCCACUUGUACAUGUUCCAGCACUGGCGCGAAGGCCCUCAACAGAACCAAGGAGUCAUAACGGACAUUAAGCGCCCCAGGUAUUUUGGUCAUGGCGCCGUUAAUGACUGGAUCAUACGGGAUAGUCCUAACCUCCAAGCAAAUAUUGUUGCACGCGGUCAAGGCCUGCAUCUCGGGGCCGGUAGGGACGAAGAAAACUGGUUUACCUGUUUCAACAUAGUUUUUACCAACGCGAGGUUGAUGGGAUCCAGCCUUCAGGUCCUCGGAAAUUUCGCAGGAAAAUCUGGUCAAUUGGCGAUCGUUGGUGGGACUGGAGAGCUUGCCUUUGCACAUGGUGUUGCCACUGCAACAGUAAUCCAAGAGGGUGAUGGGGAUUCUAUCAGAGAGCUUCAAAUCCGUGCUAUGUGCCUCGCCUUCUUGAAACCAGUCCCUAUCUGUCACCAAGAUUGGACCAUGGGGUGGGAAUGGAGGAAAAGAAUUUAA